AAUCCAUGGUAAGGGCACUCACGUCAGUACUCUUUGUACCUCUCCCAAGCUUCGCAGAAAGCUUCACCAGGCUGUUGUCUGAACAACGAAAUCUUGUUCCUCAGAGA
rfam:Eutrema salsugineum unplaced genomic scaffold scaffold_2, whole genome shotgun sequence.